rnacentral:rRNA from 1 species
AUUGGGCGUAGAGGGCUCGCAGGCGGUUUCUUAAGUCUGAUGUGAAAGCCCCCGCCUCAACCGGGGAGGGUCAUUGGAAACUGGGGAACUUGAGUGCCUAAGAGGAGAGUGGAAUUCCACGUGUAGCGGUGAAAUGCGUAGAGAUGUGGAGGAACACCAGUGGCGAAGGCGACUCUCUGGUCUGUAACUGACGCUGAGGAGCGAAAGCGUGGGGAGCGAACAGGAUUAGAUACCCUGGUAGUCCACGCCGUAAACGAUGAGUGCUAAGUGUUAGGGGGUUUCCGCCCCUUAGUGCUGCAGCUAACGCAUUAAGCACUCCGCCUGGGGAGUACGGUCGCAAGACUGAAACUCAAAGGAAUUGACGGGGGCCCGCACAAGCGGUGGAGCAUGUGGUUUAAUUCGUUUCAACGCGAAGAACCUUACCAGGUCUUGGGGGGGGGGGACAAUCCUACAGAUAGGACGUCCCCUUCGGGGCCACAGUGACAGGUGGUGCAUGGUUGU